rnacentral:rRNA from 1 species
CCUACGGGUGGCAGCAGUGGGGAAUAUUGCACAAUGGAGGAAACCCUGAUGCAGCGACGCCGCGUGAGUGAAGAAGUAAUUCGGUAUGUAAAGCUCUAUCAGCAGGGAAGAAAAUGACGAUACGUGAGUAUGUAGCCCCGGCUAACUACGUGCCAGCAGCCGCGGUAAUACGUAGGGGGCAAGCGUUAUCCGGAUUUACUGAGUGUAAAGGGGGCGUAGACGGCAGUGCAAGUCUGGAGUGAAAGGCGGGGGCUCAACCCCGGGACUGCCCUGGAAACUGUACGGCUGGAGUGCAGGAGAGGUAAGUGGAAUUCAUAGUGUAGCGGUGAAAUGCGUAGAUAUUAGACGGAACACCAGUGGCGAAGGCGGCUUACUGGACUGCAACUGACGUUGAGGCUCGAAAGCGUGGGGAGCAAACAGGAUUAGAUACCCGAGUAGUC